GUCCUCGUAGCUCAACUGGAUAGAGCGCCGGCCUCCGAAGCCGGAGGUUGCUGGUUCGAAUCCAGCCGGGGAUA
rnacentral:tRNA from 1 species